rnacentral:rRNA from 1 species
AAAUUGAAGAGUUUGAUCAUGGCUCAGAUUGAACGCUGGCGGCAGGCCUAACACAUGCAAGUCGAGCGGUAGCACAGAGAGCUUGCUCUCGGGUGACGAGCGGCGGACGGGUGAGUAAUGUCUGGGAAACUGCCUGAUGGAGGGGAUAACUACUGGAAACGGUAGCUAAUACCGCAUAACGUCGCAAGACCAAAGUGGGGACCUUCGGGCCUCAUGCCAUCAGAUGUGCCCAGAUGGGAUUAGCUAGUAGGUGGGGUAACGGCUCACCUAGGCGACGAUCCUAGCUGGUCUGAGAGGAUGACCAGCCACACUGGAACUGAGACACGGUCCAGACUCCUACGGGAGGCAGCAGUGGGGAAUAUUGCACAAUGGGCGCAAGCCUGAUGCAGCCAUGCGCGUGUGUGAAGAAGGCCUUCGGGUUGUAAAGCACUUUCAGCGGGGAGGAAGGCGGUAAGGUUAAUAACCUUGCGAUUGACGUUACCCGCAGAAGAAGCACCGGCUAACUCCGUGCCAGCAGCCGCGGUAAUACGGAGGGUGCAAGCGUUAAUCGGAAUUACUGGGCGUAAAGCGCACGCAGGCGGUCUGUCAAGUCGGAUGUGAAAUCCCGGGCUCAACCCGGAACUGCAUUCGAAACUGGCAGGCUAGAGUCUUGUAGAGGGGGUAGAAUUCCGUGUGUAGCGGUGAAAUGCGUAGAGAUCUGGAGGAAUACCGGUGGCGAAGGCGGCCCCCGGACAAAGACUGACGCUCAGGUGCGAAAGCGUGGGGAGCAAACAGGAUUAGAUACCCUCGUAGUCCACGCCGUAAACGAUGUCGAUUUGGAGGUUGUGCCCUUGAGGCGUGGCUUCCGGAGCUAACGCGUUAAAUCGACCGCCUCGGGAGUACGGCCGCAAGGUUAAAACUCAAAUGAAUUGACGGGGCCCGCACAAGCGGUGGAGCAUGUGGUUUAAUUCGAUGCAACGCGAAGAACCUUACCCGGUCUUGACAUCCACAGAACUUUCCAGAGAUGGAUUGGUGCCUUCGGGAACUGUGAGACAGGUGCUGCAUGGCUGUCGUCAGCUCGUGUUGUGAAAUGUUGGGUUAAGUCCCGCAACGAGCGCAACCCUUAUCCUUUGUUGCCAGCGGUUAGGCCGGGAACUCAAAGGAGACUGCCAGUGAUAAACUGGAGGAAGGUGGGGAUGACGUCAAGUCAUCAUGGCCCUACGACCGUGGCUACACACGUGCUACAAUGGCAUAUACAAAGAGAAGCGACCUCGCGAGAGCAAGCGGACCUCAUAAAGUAUGUCGUAGUCCGGAUUGGAGUCUGCAACUCGACUCCAUGAAGUCGGAGACCUCAUAAAGUAUGUCGUAGUCCGGAUUGAGUCUGCAACUCGACUCCAUGAAGUCGGAAUCGCUAGUAAUCGUAGAUCAGAAUGCUACGGUGAAUACGUUCCCGGGCCUUGUACACACCGCCCGUCACACCAUGGGAGUGGGUUGCAAAAGAAGUAGGUAGCUUAACCUUCGGGAGGGCGCUUACCACUUUGUGAUUCAUGACUGGGGUGAAGUCGUAACAAGGUAACCGUAGGGAACCUGCGGUUGAUCACCUCCUUA